GACGAACCGAGCGAACGUUGUUCGGAAUCACUGGGCUUAAAGGGCGCGUAGGCGGGCGGCCGCGUCCGGGGUGAAAUCCCACGGCUCAACCGUGGAACGGCCCCGGGUACGGGUCGCCUCGAGGGGGGUAGGGGCGUGCGGAACUGUGCGUGGAGCGGUGAAAUGCGUUGAUAUGCACAGGAACUCCGGUGGCGAAGGCGGCACGCUGGGCCCUCCCUGACGCUGAGGCGCGAAAGCCAGGGGAGCGAACGGG
rnacentral:rRNA from 1 species